rnacentral:lncRNA from 1 species
UGCAAAUUAGCAUCAUAAAUAAGAAGCUUGGAAAGAACUCUAUUGAAAUAACAAGGGUGAUGAUCUUGGAUUUGUUCUUGUAAUAAAUCCUACUAGUUUUAAGGUAUCAGAUUCUGAUUGGGGCAUGCAUAUUGGUAUGUUAAACAAAGAGUGAAUGUUAAUCGUUUAGUAGUGUUUACAGCUUCUACAAGCUCCAACAAAUCUACAGUAAGAUUUCUUUUGAAGGUUGAUGUAAAUAGCUUUUGCAGGAUAACAGACUAGCAGUUCAAGCAUGCUAAUCAAUCUGAUAGGAAAGACAUGCUUGGUGGUCUAAAUAUAGGUGUAAAUGUGUGUGAUUUAUCACCUGGUUUGUUGUAGCUGUUAUGAUGCUGAUUGGAAGUGUGAAGAUAAAAGCAAUAGCACUUGCAAAUAGAAGCCCCCACCAUGGCAUCUGAACUUGGUUAUUCAAGAAAAUGCAGAGGAUUAGGGAGACUGUGAGUGUCACCAGAAGCAAUGCAUUAAACCACCAAGAAGGUAUGUCUUUGUAUUUCCUCAUAAGUCUUGUGUGAAUAUCCUCCUUUCCCUUGUAUGAAGCGCGGAAUCUUUCAUAGAUUUCCCUACAAAUUGCAAGUAGACAAUAAAGACAAUCCUUUACCACGACUGUUGUAGUUAUUAACAAAUAAUUCUCAUCCAUAUUCAUAGUUCCAUUUAUUUAUGGAAGUUGCUGCUAAACAGCUGUAAAUAUGUAGCAGUUGAGAUGUCAAAAGUUUGGACAAGUUUAAAAUAGACUGACAAAUCAACUUUUGGGACGAUAAAACAUGUAUAUUUCAUUUAAAAAAUUACUUGUAUAUUUUAAUUUCCUUGUCUGGGCUCUAGGUUGUAAAACAUAAGGAGCAAAUUUGACAAAACAGUAGUACUGUGUCUUGAUAUAGUUAGAGUGUGUUUUACCUUCCGUAGAACAAUGCCACGUGUGUAAGAGUGGAUGCUAUAGUAGCAAAACCAAAACCGUAAGUGAGAGCAAAGAACAUGCUUAUAUGUAUCCGCCCUUGCUCCUCAUACUUCCCUAUAUCUAGCUCAAACUUGUCAUUCACGAUGGCUGAUAUAUCGUACUUCUGACCUUGUGCUGUGAAUAAGUGUGACGAGAAAAUGGGAAAUUUUUUAGCACCAUACAAGUCAAACCCCCAAUAUGCUAUUGGGAUCACCAUGUAUAUUAUCAACAUGUACCCUGCAAAGACAUUGACAAUGGCAAAGAAAGGGCAGAUGAGGGGACUGAACAAGAAGGAUGCCACAGCAGACCAAUCCAGGGUUAUAGCUCCAAGUCCAAGGCCCCUCAUGCCUGAUCCAAUUUGCUGAGCUGUCACUGAUUUGGAGAAUGCCCAGCAGAUCCAUGAGAUGCUCGUGAGCGUUGAGAAGAGAUAUCCUGGUACUAGAUACCAGCAAAAGCUGCAUACUAAUGCAAUGAGGAAAAAUUUUGCUCGUGACAUGCGCCGAUCAUCUUUCUCAUGCAAGGCCCUGCAAAGAUCAAUCUGUGUUAAUGAUUUUCUGCACCUUUGAUCCGUUUGAGAAAGAAAAGCAGUUCAGUUGUUUUAUAUGAGAGUGCACCUGGAGAAGCUUUUAAACCAUCAGAUAGCUUGAAAUGAACGAGAAAAUUUGAAAUAGUAACAGAAAACUUAUAAUGAAGAUUCAUAUAGCCGACCUUAACUUGCUUGUGAUUGAGGUGACGUUGUUGUUGUUGAAUAGAAACUUACAAAAUGAUUUUGGGAAAUUUAAAAUAAAAAUUGGAUUUGUGAUUCGUCUGGUCAGAAAUUCCUGCGAAGAGGGUGCAGGGAAGAGAGAUACUAGACAUUCUUUUCCAGCUAUUGUCACGAUAAGCAGUAGAUAGAAACUAAGUUACAUGCAUGUGCGAGUACGUUAUCACAAGAAAAAAAAAAAUUACAGCCAGGUGGGAGAUUCUUAUAGCUUUAACUGUAUAUAAGUAUGACUACAAUAAUCCAUCCUACAAAAAGAAAGGCUGUGUUCUUGUUUCUAAUUGCAUGAUAUUUAUCAAGAAGAUGAAUUUGUGAAACUUGCAGAUGUUUGACUUGUUUUUAUGAUUCAGGUAGGAUUUUAAAAUGGAUUAUUGAGGUCAUUGCUAAAUAUGUGCUAUACCAUUCAAGGGAAUCAAUGUGGUUAUUUCUCCCGGUACUUUGCUCCAAUCAUGCAAAAUAAUGGAGUUAGACUAGAGCUAAAUUGGACUGUCUUUUUCUGAUCCCAGAAUGACUUGAAUUUGGGAGCCUAUUUUAAUCUUCUAAUACAGCUUAGAGAUGUCAGCAGGUGAACCAUCUUGGUUAUCGAUUGGCGCUCAACAGUGAAGGUAAAGGGAUGGCUUCAGAUUUCGUCCGAAGUUCCUUUCCACUAUUGAAAUAUUAUCAUGCAAAAUUUUCAGUAUGCAUAGGUUUGUAAAUCUAACACAUUGUGAAAAAGUUUAAUUCUACUAACAGCAAACUGUGAGUACUAUGAAAAUAUUCAAUGUACAAAUGUAAAAUUCUCUCUUUAACAUGCGCCACCCCAUUUUCUUAGUAGCCUGUAAGUUGUUUCCUGUU